rnacentral:ncRNA from 2 species
AGACCUUUUCGCAACUGACGGAAUCAAGAUGGGGGACCAUCGGGGAGCGAGGAGGCGGGUUUUUAACGUCGACCGUCUGGGCACUCGUU